CACACACACCUAUUCCAGACUUGUAAUGUAUUUUCUUUUACUCGAUUCUUGUGGAUGUUAUGUUUUCGUAUUUUUAUUAGUAGAUUUGAUUGGGAAUACAAGCUAAAAUUUGGAGGAAAAAAUCGGAUGCUUGCGAGGAAGCCGUUUCCGGAUUUUAUUGACGCUGUAAAAGAAAGUGCAACAAACAAUAAAACAAUUCACUAAGUUAGCCGACGGGACCCCAGCUCUGUCACUGAACAAGGGCUGCAUCGACACACAAGGGCCUUGCAAACGAACGGGCUUGUCCUCGGUUGAGGGGCUCUGACCCGCGGCCUUCAUUUCCUUCUUCCAUUUCAUGCGGCGGUUCUGGAACCAGAUCUU